rnacentral:misc_RNA from 1 species
UGAAAUAUUAUCUUUCAGUAUUUUAUAAGCCUGCUUAUUUUCAUUCGCCGAGUGAAUUAGAUAUUUAUGUGACAUACACAUAUAUAUAUAAUAAGUUUGUGACCUCAAUCAUUGCAGUCGUGUCAGCUCAUUAUCUUACUUGUUAACGGAGACGCAGUUAAAAUGUUCGUUGCUGGUGUAUUUCUAUUGCUUAUUGUUGCCUUGCUUUCGUUUCGUGUUCUACGAAAUUAUUCGAAAUCACUGUCAGACUGCAAACACUUACCAUGCAUGAAGAGUUGGCAUCUAAUCGGCGAUAUACCGAAAAUACACGGAAAUAAUAAAGAGCGUUUUGAACAAAUAAUGAAAAUCUUUGAAGAAUUUCGAGAAAACGGCGUACUUUGUUUCUGGUUUGGUAUCCGACCUACUCUUUAUGUUUUCAAAGAUAAAUAUGUACAAGAUGUAAUUGGCAACACAAAACACAUAGAAAAAAGCUUUUUCUAUAAAUUUGCACACGCAUGGUUAGGAAAUGGUUUGCUGACUAGGUAUGUAUAAGUACAGGAUCCAGAUGGUUCAAAUCGAGGAAGAUGUUGACACCAUCCUUCCAUUAUAACAUUUUGAACAAUUUCCUUGCUGUAAUGCUAAACCAAUCAAACAUACUGUGUAACAAUCUGGACAAAAUGGUUGGUAAAGGAGAAUUCAAUAUUCGCUCACAUAUUGCAAAUUGUACGCUGGAUAUUAUAACAGAAACUGCUAUGGGUCAAUGUGUGAAUGCUCAAAGUGACGAUGGAAAUUCAGAAUACAUCCAUAGUAUUAAAAGGUAUGUUAUGAUUACCACAUCUUCAGGCAUUAAACACAUACCCGUAUAUUAUACUAAAACACGCACACGCACACGCACACACACACACACACACACACACACAUAGGCGCAGGAGUGGCUGAGU